ACGGAGGGGGCUAGCGUUGUUCGGAAUUACUGGGCGUAAAGCGCACGUAGGCGGCUUUGUAAGUUAGAGGUGAAAGCCCGGGGCUCAACUCCGGAAUUGCCUUUAAGACUGCAUCGCUAGAAUUGUGGAGAGGUAAGUGGAAUUCCGAGUGUAGAGGUGAAAUUCGUAGAUAUUGGGAGGAACACCAGUGGCGAAGGCGGCUUUCUGGACGGUAACUGACGCUGAGACGCGAAAGCGUGGGGAGCAAACAGGA
rnacentral:rRNA from 1 species